GGCGGCGUAGCUCAGCUGGCUAGAGCGUUCGGUUCAUACCCGAAAGGUCAUGGGUUCGAUCCCCUUCGCCGCUA
rnacentral:tRNA from 1 species